GCGCAUGUGGCGUAAUUGGUAGCCGCGCCAGACUUAGGAUCUGGUGUCGAAAGACGUGGGGGUUCGAGUCCCUCCAUGCGCA
rnacentral:tRNA from 1 species